rnacentral:rRNA from 1 species
CGAGCGAACGGACGAGAAGCUUGCUUCUCUGAUGUUAGCGGCGGACGGGUGAGUAACACGUGGAUAACCUACCUAUAAGACUGGGAUAACUUCGGGAAACCGGAGCUAAUACCGGAUAAUAUUUUGAACCGCAUGGUUCAAAAGUGAAAGACGGUCUUGCUGUCACUUAUAGAUGGAUCCGCGCUGCAUUAGCUAGUUGGUAAGGUAACGGCUUACCAAGGCAACGAUGCAUAGCCGACCUGAGAGGGUGAUCGGCCACACUGGAACUGAGACACGGUCCAGACUCCUACGGGAGGCAGCAGUAGGGAAUCUUCCGCAAUGGGCGAAAGCCUGACGGAGCAACGCCGCGUGAGUGAUGAAGGUCUUCGGAUCGUAAAACUCUGUUAUUAGGGAAGAACAUAUGUGUAAGUAACUGUGCACAUCUUGACGGUACCUAAUCAGAAAGCCACGGCUAACUACGUGCCAGCAGCCGCGGUAAUACGUAGGUGGCAAGCGUUAUCCGGAAUUAUUGGGCGUAAAGCGCGCGUAGGCGGUUUUUUAAGUCUGAUGUGAAAGCCCACGGCUCAACCGUGGAGGGUCAUUGGAAACUGGAAAACUUGAGUGCAGAAGAGGAAAGUGGAAUUCCAUGUGUAGCGGUGAAAUGCGCAGAGAUAUGGAGGAACACCAGUGGCGAAGGCGACUUUCUGGUCUGUAACUGACGCUGAUGUGCGAAAGCGUGGGGAUCAAACAGGAUUAGAUACCCUGGUAGUCCACGCCGUAAACGA